rnacentral:rRNA from 1 species
GCACAAGCGGUGGAGCAUGUGGUUUAAUUCGAUGCAACGCGAAGAACCUUACCUGGGCUUGACAUCCCGGGAAUCCCUUGGAAACAAGGAGUGCCCUUCGGGGAACCUGGAGACAGGUGCUGCAUGGCUGUCGUCAGCUCGUGUCGUGAGAUGUAGGGUUAAGUCCCGCAACGAGCGCAACCCUUGUCUUUAAUUGCCAUCAUUGAGUUGGGCACUUUAAAGAGACUGCCGGUGUUAAACCGGAGGAAGGUGGGGAUGACGUCAAGUCCUCAUGGCCUUUAUGCCCAGGGCUACACACGUGCUACAAUGGGUGGUACAAAGAGCAGCCAGCUCGCGAGAGUGAGCAAAUCUCAAAAAGCCAUCCUCAGUUCGGAUUGCAGUCUGCAACUCGACUGCAUGAAGUUGGAGUUGCUAGUAACCGCAGGUCAGCAAUACUGCGGUGAAUACGUUCCCGGGGAUU